GCGCUCGGGUGAGCCCUCGGGAGGCGUCGGGAACGUUCGGGAGCGCUCGGGCCGGGCCGGAGGCGGAGCCGAGCUUUAGUUUGGCCUCGGCCGGGCCGGGAGGCGGUGCCGGAACGCUACAGAAACGCACAAAAUAAUAACGGGGAAAUAAUAUAAAAUAAAAUGGGGGAAAUAAUGUAAAAUAAAAUGUGGGAAAUAAUAGAAAUAAUACAAAACAAAAUGGGGGAAAUAAUAAAAAUAAUGCAAAAUAAAAUGGGGGAAAUAAUACAAAAUUAAAUGGGGGAUAUAAUAGAAAUAAUACAAAAUAAAAUGGGGAAAAUAAUACAAAACAAAAUGGGGGAAAUAAUGAAAAUAAUACAAAACAAAAUGGGGGAAAUAAUAAAAAUAAUACAAAAUUAAAUGGGGGAAAUAAUACAAAAUAAAAUGGGGGAAAUAAUAGAAAUAAUACAAAAUAAAAUGGGAAAAAUAAUAAAAAUAAUACAAAAUUAAAGGGGAAAAUAAUCAAAAUAAUACAAAAUUAAAUGGGGAAAAUAAUCAAUACAAAAUAAAAUGGGGGAAAUAAUAAAAAUAAUACAAAAUAAAAUGGAGGAAAUAAUACAAACAAUGCAAAAUAAAAUGGGGGAAAUAAUAAAAAUAAUACAAAUUAAAAUGGGGGAAAUAAUCAAAUUAGUGCAAAAUAAAAUGGUGGUGAGGGGGGAAGAAAAAUAUAAAAUAACAUGGGGGAUGGAAGGGGAAAAGAAAAUUUAAAAAUACAAAAUAAAGAGGAGGAAAAAAAUAGAAAAAAAAAUUUAAAAGUGGGGGAAGGGGGAAAAAGGGAAAUAAAGAGAAAAAAAAAGAGGAAAAAAAGAGAAAAAAAGAAGAAAAAAAAUUAAAAAUUGGGGAAAAAAAGGUAAAAAAAAAAAAAAAAGGCCAAAGCAGCUGAGCCGAGAGCAGAGGAGGGAAUUUGGGAAUUUUGGAAUUUCUCUCCCGGGAUUUUGGGAGAUUCCACCCAGGGAGGGGAAAAAAAGGAAACAUUUCGUUUAAAAAAGUGGAAAAAUGUGAAAAUUCUCCCAAAUUUUGGAAUUUUUUUGGGGAAUUGCAGCGUGGGACUGGAGCGUUCUGGGCAGGAAUUGGUUAAUUUGAAAUGGAGUUUGACUUGUGUUUAUUUCAGUUUUAUUUUUAUUUAAUUUAUUUUUACUUUUUAUUUUUAAAAUUUGUAUUUAAUUUAUUUUUAUUUUAAAUUUUAUUUUUAUUUAUUUUUAAAUUUAUUUUUAUUUAUUUUUAUUUUUUUACUUUAUUUUUUCUAGAUUUAAUUUAAUUUUUAAUUUAUUAAAAUUUUUCUAUAUUUUUUUUAAUUCAACUGAAUUUAAUUUGAAUUCUCUUCACCUUUAAAAUUUAUUUUAAAAGCUUUUCUUCCAUUUACUUUAAAUAUUUGAACUCGUUUUUUAAACCUCUUUUAAAUAAUUUUGAUCCAUCUUUUAUUUCUUUUAAAUAAUUCCAUUUAAUUCUUUAUUCCUUUUUAAAUAAUUUUGCAAUUUAUCCUUUAUUUUUUACAAUAUCUUUGAAAUUUAUCCUUUAUUUAUUUUAAAUACUUUAAAACUUAUUUUAAAUCUAUUUUUAAUUGUUUAAAUUUUAUUUUUAUUUCUUUUAAAUAUUUUCCAUUUAUCUUUUUCAUUGAAAUUAUUGGUUUUCUUGUCUUGAAAUUUGAAUUUUUUCACACAUUUCCUUCUUUAUUUAAUAUUAUUUUAAAUUUCUAUUUUAUUUUCUUUGGAAUUUUAAAUCAUUUUCAAUUUCAUUUUUUAAAAACUUAUAUUUUUUUUUUAACAUUUCCCAUAUUUAUUUGGAAUUUUGUUGAUUUUUUCCCAAUUUUUUUGUUGGGGGGAACCGACCCGUGCAGGACGUGGAGCCCCGGCCAGAGGGGACACCCCGGGGACACCCAGGGGACACCCCGGGGACCUGGGAGGUGACACCAAGGGUGACCUCGAAGGUGACCCCAAAGUGACAUCGAAGGUGACCCCAAAGGUGACUUUGAGGUUGACCCAGAGGGUGACCCCAGUGGUGACCUGGGAGGUGACCCAAAGGUGACCUCAAGGGUGACACUGAAGGUGACCCUGAGGGCAGCCCUGGAGGUGACCCAAAGGUGACACUGAAGGUGACUUUGAGGUUGACCCAGAUCUGGGGUGACCCCAAAGGUGACCCUGAGGGUGACCCCAGUGGUGACCUGGGAGGUCACCCAAAGGUGACCUCAACGGUGACCCCAAAGGUGACACCAAAGGCCACCUUGAAGGCGGAGUCACCCCAAAGGUGACCCUGAGGGUGACCUCAAAGGUGGGGUCAUCCCAAAAGUGACCCCGAAGGCAACCCCGCAGGUGACCCCCAGGGUGACCCCAAAGGUGACCACAAAAGUGACCAGCAGGUCACGAAGGUGUCCACCAGGGUGACCUCAAAGUUGACCCCAAGGGUGACCCUGAAGGUGACCCCAAAGGUGAACCCAAGGGUGACCACAAGGGCGACCACAAGGAUGACCCCAAAGGUGACCUUGAAGAUGACCCCAAAGGUGACCACAAGGGUGACCGUGAGAGCGACCCCAAAGGUGACCCUGAAGGUGACCACGAGGGCAACCACAAGGGUGACCAUGAGGGUGAGCCCAAAGGUGACCCUGAUGGCACCCCCAAAGGUGAACCCAAGGGUGACCACAAGGUGACCCAGAGGUGACCAUGAAGGCACUCCAAGAGUGCCCCAGAGGUGAACCCAAGGGUGACCCCAAGGUGCCCCAAAGGUGACCCUGAUGGUGACCCAAGGUGAACCCAAGGGUGACCCAAAGGUGACCCUGAUGGUGACACCAAGGUGCCCCAAAGGUACCCCAAGGGUGACCACAAGGUGCCACAAAGGUGAACCCAAGGUGAC